rnacentral:rRNA from 1 species
AGAGUUUGAUCCUGGCUCAGGAUGAACGCUGGCGGCGUGCUUAACACAUGCAAGUCGAACGAAGCACCUUGAUUUGAUUUUUCGGAUGAAGAUCCUGGUGACUGAGUGGCGGACGGGUGAGUAACGCGUGGGUAACCUGCCUCAUACAGGGGGAUAACAGUUAGAAAUGACUGCUAAUACCGCAUAAGACCACAGCACCGCAUGGUGCAGGGGUAAAAACUCCGGUGGUAUGAGAUGGACCCGCGUCUGAUUAGGUAGUUGGUGGGGUAACGGCCUACCAAGCCGACGAUCAGUAGCCGACCUGAGAGGGUGACCGGCCACAUUGGGACUGAGACACGGCCCAAACUCCUACGGGAGGCAGCAGUGGGGAAUAUUGCACAAUGGGGGAAACCCUGAUGCAGCGACGCCGCGUGAGCGAUGAAGUAUUUCGGUAUGUAAAGCUCUAUCAGCAGGGAAGAAAAUGACGGUACCUGACUAAGAAGCACCGGCUAAAUACGUGCCAGCAGCCGCGGUAAUACGUAUGGUGCAAGCGUUAUCCGGAUUUACUGGGUGUAAAGGGAGCGUAGACGGAGUGGCAAGUCUGAUGUGAAAACCCGGGGCUCAACCCCGGGACUGCAUUGGAAACUGUCAAUCUAGAGUACCGGAGAGGCAAGCGGAAUUCCUAGUGUAGCGGUGAAAUGCGUAGAUAUUAGGAGGAACACCAGUGGCGAAGGCGGCUUACUGGACGGUAACUGACGUUGAGGCUCGAAAGCGUGGGGAGCAAACAGGAUUAGAUACCCUGGUAGUCCGCACGGUAAACGAUGGAUGCCCGCUGUUGGUCUGAACGGGUCAGCGGCCAAGCGAAAGCAUUAAGCAUCCCACCUGGGGAGUACGCCGGCAACGGUGAAACUCAAAGGAAUUGACGGGGGCCCGCACAAGCGGAGGGACAUGUGGUUUAAUUCGAUGAUACGCGAGGAACCUUACCCGGGCUUGAAUUGCAGAGGAAGGAUUUGGAGACAAUGACGCCCUUCGGGGUCUCUGUGAAGGUGCUGCAUGGUUGUCGUCAGCUCGUGCCGUGAGGUGUCGGCUUAAGUGCCAUAACGGGCGCAACCCCUCUCCUUAGUUGCCAUCAGGUUAAGCUGGGCACUCUGGGGACACUGCCACCGUAAGGUGUGAGGAAGGUGGGGAUGACGUCAAAUCAGCACGGCCCUUACGUCCGGGGCUACACACGUGUUACAAUGGCAGGUACAGAGAGACGGUUGUACGUAAGUACGAUCAAAUCCUUAAAGCCUGUCUCAGUUCGGACUGGGGUCUGCAACCCGACCCCACGAAGCUGGAUUCGCUAGUAAUCGCGCAUCAGCCAUGGCGCGGUGAAUACGUUCCCGGGCCUUGUACACACCGCCCGUCAAGCCAUGAAAGCCGGGGGCGCCUAAAGUCCGUGACCGUAAGGAGCGGCCUAGGGCGAAACUGGUAAUUGGGGCUAAGUCGUAACAAGGUA